rnacentral:rRNA from 1 species
GCGGUAUCCUGACCGCGGUAUCCUGACCGUGCUAAGGUAGCAUAAUCAUUUGUUUGUUAAUUAGGGAGUAGAAGGAAUGGAUAUACAAGAAAAAACUAUUUUUAUUUUUGCACUAAAAAUUAAUCUAUGAAUGAAAAAUUUCAUAUUCUAUAAAAAGACCAAAAGACCCUAUCGAGCUUAAAUAUUCUAUCUCUCCUUGAAAUACAUAUUUUAAAUGGGGGCGAUUUAAGAUAAAUUCCAUCUUACUUAAUUCUAAACUAUAAUUAUACCUUUAUUAUAUCAAAUUAAGUUACCGUAGGGAUAACACGCUACGCAAUUUUAGAAGUUCACAUUUACAAAUUGUCUUGGCCCCGCGGUGUUGGCUUAAGAAUGUUGGCUUAGGAA